UUGGGGGCUAUUUGAGUCGAGGGGCCUGUGCUGGCACGGAAACGUUUGCAUGUGCACGGCCUUUCGUGCUCAAAUCCAACUCUCAAACCCCUGUGCACCUAUACAAGUUGAAGGUCUUAGUAGUUUCUGUAAUCGAACGGCAAGUCAAGUACGUCGAGUAAUCAAGUACGAGGGUUUCGGCCCUUGGAAAGUGUGAAAGAUGGAAAGGCAAGCUUCAGAGACAAGGAGACGAAAAGGCUUUUGGCUUCAUUACAAACACCAAUAUAAUUGUUAUGUGAAUGAAAUGCUCCUUGUGGGCGAUAAUAAAUACAACUUUCAACAACGGAUCUCUAGGCUCUCGCAUCGAUGAAGAACGCAGCGAAAUGCGAUAAGUAAUGUGAAUUGCAGAAUUCAGUGAAUCAUCGAAUCUUUGAACGCACCUUGCGCCCCUUGGUAUUCCGAGGGGCAUGCCUGUUUGAGUGUCAUGUUAAUCUCAAAUCGCUCGUCUAUUCUUAAUUGAAGUGGCUUUCGAUUUGGAUCUGGAGGUUUUGCUGGCCCGGGCGACUUUGGUUGCCCUUGGUUUGUCGGCUCCUCUCAAAUACAUUAGCUGGACUUUGGUUCGCGUUUACGGUGUAAUAAUGUAAUGUUCACUAAGACGCUUGCCUAACAAGUCUGCUUCUAAUCGUCCUUAAGUUGGACAAGGAUCCCUUCGUUGGGCCUUCUUGACACCUUUGACCUCAAAUCAGGUAGGAUUACCCGCUGAACUUAAGCAUAUCAAUAGCCGGAGGAA
rnacentral:rRNA from 1 species